rnacentral:rRNA from 1 species
UACUAUGGCCAUGCUACCCUGAACAAGACCAAUCCUGUCUGAUCUCGGAAGCUAAGCAGGGUCGGGCCUGGUUAGUACUUGGAUGGAAGACCACCUAGGAAGACAAGGUACUGUAGGCA